ensembl:lncRNA
GGGAAUAUGGCCAAUAGUUGUUACGCUUUUAUGUCGGCCACGCCCUCUAGGUCCCGCCCCAUUGGGGCCCCGAAGUCUCUAAGUUGCGGUUUCUACAGGAACGUGGAUUUUUGUUUGUUUAAAUGCAGGGCUUUAUCUCCCGCAGAAAGCUCUCAGGAUAGGACCUGGAGGAUAGAUCCCCAGGGUUCUUUGCCAUGUUCCCCAUCGGGCCUCCAGGCGGCGCCACGACCACAUAACAGCCUUUCUUGCCAGGCUCAGUUCAGUUCAGUCGCUCAGUCAUGUUCGACUCUUUGCGACCCCAUGAAUUGCAGCACGCCAGGCCUCCCUGUCCAUCAGCAACUCCCAGAGUUCACUCAAACUCACGUCCAUCGAGUCGGUGAUGCCAUCCAGCCAUCUCAUCCUCUGUCGUCCCCUUCUGGUCCUGCGCCCAAUCCCUCCCAGCAUCAGAGUGUUUUCCAAUGAGUCAACUCUUCGCAUGAGGUGGCCAAAGUACUGGAGUUGCAGCUUUAGCAUCAUUCCUUCCAAAGAAAUCCCAGGGCCGAUCUCCUUCAGAAUGGACUGGUUGGAUCUCCUUGCAGUCCAAGGGACUCUCAAGAGUCUUCUCCA